rnacentral:rRNA from 1 species
CCUACGGGGCGCAGCAGUCGCGAAAACUUUGCAAUACACGAAAGUGUGACAGGGCUAUCCCGAGUGCCAUCCGCUGAGGAAGGCUUUUACCCAGUCUAGAAAGCUGGGGGAAUAAGGAGAGGGCAAGUCUGGUGUCAGCCGCCGCGGUAAUACCAGCUCUCCGAGUGGUGUGGAUGUUUAUUGGGCCUAAAGCAUCCGUAGCUGGCUAAGUUAGUCCCCUGUUAAAUCCAACGAAUUAAUCGUUGGAUCGCGGGGGAUACUGCUUGGCUAGGGGACGAGAGAGGCAGACGGUAUUUCCGGGGUAGGGGUGAAAUCCUAUAAUCCCGGGAAGACCACCAGUGGCGAAGGCUGUCUGCUAGAACGCGCCCGACGGUGAGGGAUGAAAGCUGGGGGAGCGAACCGGAUUAGAUACCCGGGUAGUCCCAGCUGUAAACGAUGCAGGCUAGGUGUUUGGACGGCCACGUGCCGUUCUAGUGCCGCAGGGAAGCUGUUAAGCCUGCCGCCUGGGGAGUACGAUCGCAAGAUUGAAACUUAAAGGAAUUGGCGGGGGAGCACCACAAGGGGUGAAGCUUGCGGUUUAAUUGGAGUCAACGCCGGAAAUCUCACCGG